UACGAGGGGGGCGAGCGUUUGUUCGGAAUUAUUGGGCGUAAGGGGUGCGUAGGCGGCCUGACAAGUCUGAUGUGAAAUCCCUGGGCUCAACCCAGGGCCUGCAUCGGAAACUGUCGGGCUUGAGUAUGGGAGAGGUGAGUGGAAUUUCCGGUGUAGCGGUGAAAUGCGUAGAUAUCGGAAGGAACACCUGUGGCGAAAGCGGCUCACUGGACCAUUACUGACGCUGAGGCACGAAAGCUAGGGGAGCAAACAGG
rnacentral:rRNA from 1 species